rnacentral:tRNA from 1 species
AUUUAAAUAGCUUAUAAAUUAGAGUUUAACAUUGAAGAUGUUAUGGUGAAAUUAAUUUCUUUAGAUA